rnacentral:snRNA from 1 species
GGGAGUGAGGGCGAACUGGCUGCGACAUCUGUCACCCCCAUUGAUCGCCAGGGUUGAUUCGGCUGAUCUGGUUGGCUAGGGCACAUGUCCCCUUCCUCCCUCACUUCUCCAUGUGCAUCCCUCCGGAAGCUGCGCGCUCUGUCAAAGAGGACCGCCUUCCCCGAAUAGAAACGGACUGGUCUUCAGUCGAGGGUAUACACUUAGCUGUGCUUCCCUGCUAGAACCUCCAAACAAGAUCUCAAAGAAAUAACAGAAAAAUUUCCAACUCUGGGAUGUGGUCAGGAUAUAGAUUAGAUAUUCAGGAAGCAAAGAGAACUCCCAAAUUUUU